rnacentral:SRP_RNA from 1 species
GAAGUGUGCGCGCGCGCCCUCCGCGAGCGCCGCCCUCCGCGAGCGCGUCGGGUCCCGCAUCGGUGCCGGCCGAGGCCGGCUUUACAGAGGCCGGUGCGAUCUCUCCGCGUCGUGGAAGGAUCACGGUCAUUUU